AGAAGGAAUGUUGAAAAGCAUUUGAGUUUU
rnacentral:piRNA from 1 species